rnacentral:rRNA from 1 species
UCGGGAAUUUUGGGCAAUGGGCGAAAGCCUGACCCAGCAACGCCGCGUGAAGGAUGAAGUAUUUCGGUAUGUAAACUUCGAAAGAAUAGGAAGAAUAAAUGACGGUACUAUUUAUAAGGUCCGGCUAACUACGUGCCAGCAGCCGCGGUAAUACGUAGGGACCAAGCGUUGUUCGGAUUUACUGGGCGUAAAGGGCGCGUAGGCGGCAAUUCAAGUCAUCUGUGAAAUCUCCGGGCUUAACUCGGAACGGUCAGAUGAUACUGCUUUGCUAGAGUGCAGAAGGGGCAAUCGGAAUUCUUGGUGUAGCGGUGAAAUGCGUAGAUAUCAAGAGGAACACCUGAGGUGAAGACUGGUUGCUGGGCUGACACUGACGCUGAGGCGCGAAAGCCAGGGGAGCAAACGGGAUUAGAUACCCCCGUAGUCCCUGAGCGGGCUGGCAAGGCGCAU